ACAUCUUAAACUUAACAAAAGCAAAAGAACACAUCUCAAACUUAACAAAAGAACACAUCUGAAAGAACACAUCUAGUUACAUAGAUUGAUUAAUUAAAAUAGUGCUUACAAAACUAUGCAUAUAACAUAUGUCAUAUACAUAUACAAAUACUCUCCAAUUAUAUUAAAAUAUUCACAUAUAUAACUGCUACUAAUACAAAUAAUACAACUAAAUACAUUCUUAUUCUAAAAAACACACUAUUCGUCUCCACUUCAAACUCCUUCAACUCAUCUCGCAGUGCAGAUGUCUGUUUGAAAUAAAAUAAUACUUAUAUAGGAUGAAACAAUCCUAAUCAUAAUAAAAAAAACGAUUAGAUUCGAGUUCAUACAAUCCUAAUAGGUCUCGUGUUAACCAUUAAAUUUUGGGCCAAUAAUUAUAAUUCAAAUAUACAAUAAGCCCAUUCGUAAAUGUGAGUUGGUGGGCCUCAUGAAUGCCCAUGCAAAUAAAAAAAAAAGGGCCUCAUUCCAACCCAUUAAAUAUUAUUAUUUUGGCCCAAUAAAUUAAAGCGGGCCUGAUCAACGACGACCUACAUUCACAUUCUAUAAAAUAUCUAUUCGAAAUUCGAUUUCAAAUCACAACCCAUUAAAAAUUCGAUUUUUGAAUUUCAAAUUUUGAAUUCCCAAUCAAUUCCCAAAAUAUCCUCCAACAACCCAUUCAAAAUUCGGAUUCGAAUUUCGAAUUCCCAACCAAUUCCCAAAAUAUCCUCCAACAACCCAUUCAAAAUUCGAUUUCGAAUUUCGAAUUCCCUAACCAAUUCUCAAAACAUCAUCCAACAAUCCAUUCGAAAUUCGAUUUUGAAUUCCCAACCAACUCCAAAAUAUCCUCUAAUAAUCCAUUCAAAAUUCGAAUUUCGAAUUUCGAUUUCCCAACCAAUUCCGAAAAUAUCCUCCAACAAUCCAUUCAAAAUUCGAAUUUUGAAUUUCGAAUUUCCAACCAAUUCCCAACCAAUCCCAAAUAUCUUUCAGCCAACUACAACAACAUAUUCAAAAUUCGAAUUCGAAUUUCAAAUCCCUUAAAAUAUCUCUCACCAUUCCUCCUAUUAUAAAUACGAGAACCGAAAUCAAACUCCGGAGAAUUUUUUUACGGAGACGAUAUAAUAGACAAAGAACAAAAAAAAAUAGAUAGAUUGCUACACUCGUUCCGACAUACAAAAAAUUCAAAAAAAGAAGAUAUCGCCGAGCCGCGGAAAGAAGGAGGAUCGCCGAGCCGCGGAAAGGAGGAGAAAUCGCCGAGCCGCGAAAAGGAGGAGAGAUCGCCGAGCCACGGAAAGAUGGAGGAAUCGUCAAGCUGAUUCAUCCAAUCCGUCAUUUGAUCAACAGGUAAAGAAAAAAAAAGAAGAAUAAUGAAGAAGAAGAAGAAAAAAAAUCUCUUUUCUUCCCCCUCAUUUUUUUCCUUUUUUGGUCCAGCGAUCGUAGCUAUCCAUACCAUCUAGAUGGCUUCGAUGGGAGAGUGGAGGGGAAUCUUUGAUUCCCCGUUUCUUCGGACCUCUC
rnacentral:lncRNA from 1 species